rnacentral:rRNA from 1 species
GGUUAAGCGACUAAGCGUACACGGUGGAUGCCCCCGGCAGUCAGAGGCGAUGAAGGACGUGCUAAUCUGCGAAAAGCGUCGGUAAGGUGAUAUGAACCGUUACAGCCGGCGAUGUCCGAAUGGGGAAACCCAGUGCAAUUCGUUGCACUAUCGUUAACUGAAUACAUAGGUUAACGAGGCGAACCGGGGAACUGAAACAUCUAAGUACCCCGAGGAAAAGAAAUCAACCGAGAUUCCCCAGUAGCGGCGAGCGAACGGGGAGCAGCCCAGAGUCUGAAUCAGCUUGUGUGUUAGUGGAACGGUCUGGAAAGUCCGACGGUACAGGGUGAUAGUCCCGUACACCAAAAUGCACAGGUUGUGAACUCGAAGAGUAGGGCGGGACACGUGGUAUCCUGUCUGAAUAUGGGGGACCAUCCUCCAAGGCUAAAUACUCCUGACUGACCGAUAGUGAACCAGUACCGUGAGGGAAAGGCGAAAAGAACCCCGGCGAGGGGAGUGAAAAAGAACCUGAAACCGUGUACGUACAAGCAGUGGGAGCACCUUCGGGUGUGACUGCGUACCUUUGUAUAAUGGGUCAGCGACUUAUAUUCUGUAGCAAGGUUAACCGUAUAGGGGAGCCGCAGGAAACCGAGUCUUAACUGGGCGUUAAGUUGCAGGGUAUAGACCCGAAACCCGGUGAUCUAGCCAUGGGCAGGUUGAAGGUUGGGUAACACUAACUGGAGGACCGAACCGACUAAUGUUGAAAAAUUAGCGGAUGACUUGUGGCUGGGGUGAAAGGCCAAUCAAACCGGGAGAUAGCUGGUUCUCCCCGAAAGCUAUUUAGGUAGCGCCUCGUGAACUCAUCUUCGGGGUAGAGCACUGUUUCGGCUAGGGGUCAUCCCGACUUACCAACCCGAUGCAAACUACGAAUACCGAAGAAUGUUAUCACGGGAGACACACGGCGGGUGCUAACGUCCGUCGUGAAGAGGGAAACAACCCAGACCGCCAGCUAAGGUCCCAAAGUCAUGGUUAAGUGGGAAACGAUGUGGGAAGGCACAGACAGCCGGAUGUUGGCUUAGAAGCAGCCAUCAUUUAAAGAAAGCGUAAUAGCUCACUGGUCGAGUCGGCCUGCGCGGAAGAUGUAACGGGGCUAAACCAUGCACCGAAGCUGCGGCAGCGACACUAUGUGUUGUUGGGUAGGGGAGCGUUCUGUAAGCCUGCGAAGGUGUGCUGUGAGGCAUGCUGGAGGUAUCAGAAGUGCGAAUGCUGACAUAAGUAACGAUAAAGCGGGUGAAAAGCCCGCUCGCCGGAAGACCAAGGGUUCCUGUCCAACGUUAAUCGGGGCAGGGUGAGUCGACCCUAAGGCGAGGCCGAAAGGCGUAGUCGAUGGGAAACAGGUUAAUAUUCCUGUACUUGGUGUUACUGCGAAGGGGGACGGAGAAGGCUAUGUUAGCCGGGCGACGGUUGUCCCGGUUUAAGCAUGUAGGCUGAUUGUCCGAGGCAAAUCCGGAUAAUCAAGGCUGAGGUGUGAUGACGAGGCACUACGGUGCUGAAGUAACAAAUGCCCUGCUUCCAGGAAAAGCCUCUAAGCAUCAGGUAACAUUAAAUCGUACCCCAAACCGACACAGGUGGUCAGGUAGAGAAUACCAAGGCGCUUGAGAGAACUCGGGUGAAGGAACUAGGCAAAAUGGUGCCGUAACUUCGGGAGAAGGCACGCUGGUGUGUAGGUGAAGUCCCUGCGGAUGGAGCUGAGACCAGUCGAAGAUACCAGCUGGCUGCAACUGUUUAUUAAAAACACAGCACUGUGCAAACACGAAAGUGGACGUAUACGGUGUGACGCCUGCCCGGUGCCGGAAGGUUAAUUGAUGGGGUUAUCCGUAAGGAGAAGCUCUUGAUCGAAGCCCCGGUAAACGGCGGCCGUAACUAUAACGGUCCUAAGGUAGCGAAAUUCCUUGUCGGGUAAGUUCCGACCUGCACGAAUGGCGUAAUGAUGGCCGUGCUGUCUCCACCCGAGACUCAGUGAAAUUGAACUCGCUGUGAAGAUGCAGUGUACCCGCGGCAAGACGGAAAGACCCCGUGAACCUUUACUAUAGCUUGACACUGAACAUUGAGCCUUGAUGUGUAGGAUAGGUGGGAGGCUUUGAAGCGUGGACGCCAGUCUGCGUGGAGCCAACCUUGAAAUACCACCCUUUAAUGUUUGAUGUUCUAACGUUGGCCCCUGACCGGGGUUGCGGACAGUGUCUGGUGGGUAGUUUGACUGGGGCGGUCUCCUCCCAAAGCGUAACGGAGGAGCACGAAGGUUAGCUAAUCCCCGGUCGGACAUCAGGAGGUUAGUGCAAUGGCAUAAGCUAGCUUGACUGCGAGCGUGACGGCGCGAGCAGGUGCGAAAGCAGGUCAUAGUGAUCCGGUGGUUCUGAAUGGAAGGGCCAUCGCUCAACGGAUAAAAGGUACUCCGGGGAUAACAGGCUGAUACCGCCCAAGAGUUCAUAUCGACGGCGGUGUUUGGCACCUCGAUGUCGGCUCAUCACAUCCCCGGGGCUGAAGUAGGUCCCAAGGGUAUGGCUGUUCGCCAUUUAAAGUGGUACGCGAGCUGGGUUUAGAACGUCGUGAGACAGUUCGGUCCCUAUCUGCCGUGGGCGCUGGAGAAUUGAGGGGGCUGCUCCUAGUACGAGAGGACCGGAGUGGACGCAUCACUGGUGUUCGGGUUGUCAUGCCAAUGGCACUGCCCGGUAGCUAAAUGCGGAAGAGAUAAGUGCUGAAAGCAUCUAAGCACGAAACUUGCCCCGAGAUGAGUUCUCCUGAGACUUUAAGUCUCCUGAAGGAACGUUAAAGACGAUGACGUUGAUAGGCCGGGUGUGUAAGCGCAGCGAUGCGUUGAGCUAACCGGUACUAAUGAACCGUGAGGCUUAACCUU